GAUCUCUGUGUAUGUCUAUUUUAGUAUAUAUAUGUGUGUGUGUGUACAGACACAUGCACACACACACG
rnacentral:miRNA from 1 species